rnacentral:rRNA from 1 species
ACGGGAGGCAGCAGUGGGGAAUAUUGGGCAAUGGGCGCAAGCCUGACCCAGCGACGCCGCGUGAGUGAUGAAGUAUUUCGGUAUGUAAAGCUCUUUAAGCAGGGAAGAUAAUGACGGUACCUGCAGAAUAAGCACCGGCUAAAUACGUGCCAGCAGCCGCGGUAAUACGUAUGGUGCAAGCGUUAUCCGGAUUUACUGGGUGUAAAGGGAGCGUAGGUGGUUUGGCAAGCCAGAAGUGAAAACCCGGGGCUCAACUCCGUGGAUUGCUUUUGGAACUGUUGGACUAGAGUGCAGGAGGGGUAAGCGGAAUUCCCAGUGUAGCGGUGAAAUGCGUAGAUAUUGGGAGGAACACCAGCGGCGAAGGCGGCUUACUGGACUGUUACUGACACUGAGGCUCGAAAGCGUGGGGAGCAAACAGGAUUAGAUACCCUGGUA